rnacentral:rRNA from 1 species
UACGGAGGGUGCGAGCGUUGUCCGGAAUCACUGGGCGUAAAGGGCGCGUAGGCGGCCUGAUAAGUAGGGGGUGAAAUCCUGCGGCUUAACCGCAGGGCUGCCUUCUGAACUGUCGGGCUAGAGCACGGUAGAGGCAGAUGGAAUUCCCGGUGUAGCGGUGGAAUGCGUAGAGAUCGGGAAGAACAUCAGUGGCGAAGGCGGUCUGCUGGGCCGUUGCUGACGCUGAGGCGCGACAGCGUGGGGAGCAAACAGG